rnacentral:rRNA from 1 species
GCCCUAGAUAAUAUCUAAGGUGUAACCUGCCCAAUGAUUUAAAAUUAAGAACACAUAAAAAAUGUUUAAUGAAAUUUAAAGGACGCAGUAACCUUGACUGUGAUAAUGUAGCAUAAUCAUUCGCCAUUUAAUUGAUGGAUAGUAUGAAUGGUUGAACGAAUAUUCCACUGUCUUAGAGAAAAAUACCAAAAAAUUAAAAUAAUAGUUAAGAUGCUAUUUUAAAUUGUAAGACGAAAAGACCCUAUAGAGCUUAACUACAAUUUCAUUUAUAGAAAAAGAAAAUAAUUUCCUAAAAAAUGAGAUAGGUAGUUUAGUUGGGGCGACUAUCUUCUACAAAUAACGAAGAGAAACAAAAUUAAUAAAAAAUUUACUGUAUAAUUAAUAAAUUUAACAGUUACAAAAGUAGGUUAUAAUGACCCGUUAUAUAAUAAUAAUAAAAGUAACGAUCAAUAAAUAAAAGCUACCUUAGGGAUAACAGGAUAAUUUCAUUUUAGAGAUCCUAUCGAAAAUGAAGUUUGUCACCUCUAUGUUGAAUUAAGAUAUCCUGACAAUGCAGAAGUUGUCAAAGGUAGGUCUGUUCGACCUUUAAAAUCUU